UCUCGCUUUCAUGAUCUAAAUGCCUCUGACGGGCUUCCCUUGCAAAGGCAUUCUGCUCUCUCACUCGUUGCUUGAUUUGCUCCAAAGGUGGUAGAUUCGAAGGCAACGACAUGGCAACAAGCGAAAAAAAAAAACUUCUUGUCACAAAAGAAGUAGGGAUCCCUUUGCUCUCUGGCUCCCUAUUUAUAAGUGCUGGCAACCACAUCAAUCGCCAAUCGAUGUUUCUCUAGAGUUAAUGGCCAAACAGUUAAUGACGUGCUUUCCUCGAAGUAGGAAUAAAUCCCUACGAUGCUUCGCAAACUGGGAUGGGCCCACGUGGUACAUUUUCUUAGGCCCUGUGCCAUCUCCCAGGGGUGAUCUUAUCGGGUGAGUCAUCGAUCGCCAUUCUUCAUAAUCGUCCACAUUUAAGGUAGCAAAAUGAGGUUAUCGUUCAAAUAAAAACUGCCUCAGAUUGACGUAAGUAAGUCCACUAGCCGAGGUAUGACAGAGAUUCUACUUAUUUUAUUCUUUUCAAAAUUUUCUUACAAAUAAUCCCAAAGGGAUCUAAACACGAAAAAGAGAAAUAUAGAAAUUACAGGAUGAUGCCUGGAGUUGAGGUGCCAGCCGCUGAGACAUCCAUCGAAGUAGGAUCUCAAAUUUUAUCUAAAAAAUUCAAGUCCAGACCUAGAUAUUUGGCAGCAACUCAGAUUCAGAUAGACUGUCUUUUGAUGUCAUAAGCAUCAGCGGAGUAUGCAGCCCUUUCUUCUUCAUAUUUUUUAGAAGCCUGAAAGUCCUCCAUAGCUUUAGAAGCGGCCUUGGCUAUUCGCUUCUCC
rnacentral:lncRNA from 1 species